ACAAGAUAAACUCUGAAUGUACUUUUAUAUACAAUAGUAUUUCAAAUUUCAGAUUUAUAACAAGUCGUUGAUGUUUUUCUAAACAGGAAUUCUCAUUGGAUGAUAUCUCACCAUAUGAGAAACUCAGCAUUCGAUAACAGCGAAUCAUUUCAAAAUUCAAUGCAUAUUUUAGAGGAUCAUUUAAACUAUUUGAAUAAGACGCAAAACAUAUGAGUAAGCAUUGCCCAUCACAUAUUUUGAAUGUCCAUAGUAUGGGCUAAAGUAUUCGGCUGAAAAUCUUUGUUUUGCUAAAUCACUUAUCUGUACAGUAUAAGGUUAUUUUCAUUCCUUCUAUCCAUUUCAUUUUCAUUAGAAAUGCAUAUCUAAAGCAUUGUAAAUAAUAAAAAUAGAAAAAUAUGAUUUGACCAAAAUCGAGACCAUGCCCUUUAACGUUGCUCAAAUUAUAAAAAUUCUCCAUACUCACCAUUUUCCCAUCCUCAACCAAAUAUAAACAUUACAUGACAUUUCGUUCCGAAAUUAAAACCAUGAUGGUAUGAGACUGUUUACAUGCAGUAUACAGUACUAUUCUACUUGGGACAAGGAACUUUUAUUCCGUUGCCCUAAUUUCAUCUAGCUGCAAAGAAAUUGUAUGAUCAUCCAGGGGAAAAAUCACUGCUCGCUGACUAUAUAAAUGUAUAUCGCUUGACUCGCCUUAUGAACACCAAACCUUUAUACAAUGUAAUAAAAUCAGAUUAAUCCUG
rnacentral:sRNA from 1 species